GACGAACGCUGGCGGCGUGCUUAACACAUGCAAGUCGAACGGAAAGGCCCUGCUUUUGUGGGGUGCUCGAGUGGCGAACGGGUGAGUAACACGUGAGUAACCUGCCCUUGACUUGGGGAUAACUUCAGGAAACUGGGGCUAAUACCGGAUAGGAGCUCCUGCUGCAUGGGGGGGGUUGGAAAGCUUCGGCGGUUGGGGUUGGACUGGGGGGUUAUGGGCUUGUUGGUGGGGUAGUGGCUUACCAUGGCUUUGACGGGUAGCCGGCCUGAGGGGGUGACCGGCCACAUUGGGACUGCGAUAGGGCCCAGACUGCAACGGGGGGCAGCAGUGGGGAAUAUUGUCCAGUGGGGGGAAGCGUGAUGAAGAAGCGCUGCGUGCGGGAUGACGGCCUUCGGGUUGUAAACCGCUUUCGCCUGUGACGAAGCGUGAGUGACGGUAAUGGGUAAAGAAGCACCGGCUAACUACGUG
rnacentral:rRNA from 1 species